AAAGAUUAAAUGAAAAGAUAAAAGAUACAUAUGAGCAAAUUCAUUUGGACUUGAAAAAGAAAAAUGAAAUGCUCGAAGCUAACCUAGUAAUUAAUAUAUGAUAGUCAAUGGAAAAUAAAUAAAUAAAUACGCACACAUAUAUUAUAUAUAUAGAUAUCUGAAUAGAUGUGAUUAUACGUAUAUGUGUACGUAGCAUGUGCAUAUUUAUAUAUCUAAAAAUGCGCACUUAUUUUAAUUAAUUUCAUUUUUUCACUUCUUUCUUUUUUUUGUCAUCCUUGAUGUUCUUACUUAAUGUUUGUUACAUGUCUUACCCCUCUUUAGAAUAUGAACAUACUAAACUUACAAGAAAUAAACCAGAUAAUAAUGAACAAAGAAAAGAAAACAUAUGAUAUAAAAUUACUACAACAAAAAAACGAUAAUAACCUAAAAAUGAUAAAUUUUUAUAAACUCGAAAUAAAUAAAUUAAGAGAAGCUCUAUUGUCAGUGAAAACUUAUUACUAUAACUAUAGAAUUAAAUCAAAGUAUACACAUUUUUUACUUUCUUUCUGACUAUAAAAAAAAAAAAAAAAUGUAUUAAAACCAGAAUUACAAAGUUAAUUCUAUAUUGUAGAAAAUAAAAUUUUCCUUUUCUAAAAUAUGUAUACUUAGAAACAAAUCUUUUUUCUUUUUUUCUUUUUUUAAAUUUUUUUUAUGUUAAGAAAAAACAUUAACGAGCUAAUGAUUCAAUAUGAGAGAAUAAAAUUUCAAUUUAUUGAAUUACAAAAGAGACAAAAAAGUUAUGAAAAAAUUUUUCAAAAAAAAUACACAAAUGCUUGGAACUUGCAAAAAAACGAGGCCAACAAACAUAUUGAAAAGUUAAUAAAUGCAAAUAAAAUAAUCCACGAACAAAUCCUUUUAAAAGAAUUUCAUAAAACUACUUAUAAACAAUUCAUGGAAGAUAGCAGCAGUUUAAUUUCAACAACCGUUAAAGAUCAUGAAAACCCUCGAACGGAGUUAAAUACAAAACGCGUUAAUGUACAACAGAUUGAAAAUGUUAAGAAGCUACUUUUGCAAGAAUGCAAUUUCUUAGUCGAAGACGAUAUGGAUAAUGAACAACAAAAAAUAAAAAAAAUAUUAAAAUACAUAGGUGUUUAUACACAAGAAGAUUUAGAACUACUUACACAACUGUUUUAUAUAGAUUAUGAGCAUGAAAAUGAUAGUGACAAUAACAACAAGGAGAGUGACGAUAAUGCGAUAAAAUAUAAUUCAGAAUAUACAUUAGAUAUAAUUUAUAAGUAUUAUCAAGAAAAGGAAAAAGAAAGUGCUUGUCAAAUAACGAAGAACAAACAACAAUAUAAAAAUAGGUUAAAUAUUUCUUUAAAGUUAAUAAUAGAGAGAAGAAAAAAAGAAAAAGAGUUCUGGGAAAACUUAACGCAUAUUACACCUAAUGAUAUGGUAGAAAUGUGGAAGACAUUCUCAGUUUUUGUGGAAAGGUAUUACUAUAUAUUAAAAGAUCGAGCAACUAUUGUCCAAAAUAUUUUUAAUGAAGAAAAAUUAAUCAAUGAAAAUGAAAACAUAAUUAAAAACAUGAGCGAAGCUUUGUCCAAGCUAUAAACAAAUAAAGAUUCAUAUGUUUUGUUUUUAAAGAUUUAA
ensembl:lncRNA